rnacentral:rRNA from 1 species
AUUGAACUCUGGCGGCAGGCCUAACACAUGCAAGUCGAACGAGUGGCGGACGGGUGAGUAAUGUCUGGGAAACUGCCCGAUGGAGGGGGAUAACUACUGGAAACGGUAGCUAAUACCGCAUACAAUCGGAUGGGCCCAGAUGGGAUUAGCUAGUAGGUGGGGUAACGGCUCCCCUAGGCGACGCUCCCUAGCUGGUCUGAGAGGAUGACCCGCCACACUGGAACGUUGCAACGGUCCAGACGCCUACGGGAGGCAGCAGUGGGGAAUAUUGCACAAUGGGCGCAAGCCUGAUGCAGCCAUGCCGCGUGUAUGAAGAAGGCCUUAGGGUUGUAAAGUACUUUCAGCGAGGAGGCGUUACUCGCAGAAGAAGCACCGGCUAACUCCGUGCCAGCAGCCGCGGUAAUAC